rnacentral:lncRNA from 10 species
GUGACCCCUAGAGCUCCUUGUCUGGCUCUAGUACCUGCUGACCCCACCUUUAUUCCAUCUAGGCCGUAGCAUGGUGUCCCUGGCAGUCCAAUGUCCUGGCAACAGGAGGGGGCACCAGUGAUCGACACAUUCGCAUCUGGAAUGUGUGCUCUGGGGCCUGUCUGAGUGCCGUGGAUGCCCAUUCCCAGGUGUGCUCCAUCCUCUGGUCUCCCCAUUACAAGGAGCUCAUCUCAGGCCAUGGCUUUGCACAGAACCAGCUAGUUAUUUGGAAGUACCCAACCAUGGCCAAGGUGGCUGAACUCAAAGGUCACACAUCCCGGGUCCUGAGUCUGACCAUGAGCCCAGAUGGGGCCACAGUGGCAUCCGCAGCAGCAGAUGAGACCCUGAGGCUAUGGCGCUGUUUUGAGUUGGACCCUGCGCGG